AUGUUUUGUCUUUCCUUAGAUAUGCACAUCUCACAUGGCUAUCAAGAGUUAAAGACUAUGGACAAUCUUCCAGGCAGCUUUCUUCAUCUUAUCGGAUGCUUUUUAUUACGUCAGUCUGUUAACACCGAUUAUGUUUAUGGUCUCAAUUCACCUUCUGACAUUUCAGUGGGACAAAACACUUUGCCAUACCAUCAGGUUAAUUUAUUCUCUCUGUCAUACAACACCAAGAGUAAAGGACAAAUCCUUUGGGAGUGUCACCAAAUACUAAAACGAAACUAAUUAACCAGUCAACCAACUAAAUGGAUAAAUAAAUGAAUUUAAAAAACAGGAUUGUUAGUAACUGCAGUAAAUUGUUUUAAUUUUCAAAGCUUUAUUUAAAUUCUUCUCCUAGUUUUUUCAAAUAUUUUUCAUAUAAACAAUGAAAUAUUAUACUUUCUAUUAUUUGCAUAGAAAACACAAAUAUUGGUGUGAGAUCUGAGAACUCCUAUUGCUAUUCAAAUUUUGCUUGUGUUGUACUGAUAUAUGAUCACUGCUAUAAUCUCUAUAAAUUUUUGGUGAAAACCUACUUAGAACAUACUGAAAUCAUUCUCAGAAGUGGUGAUAAGAACACUUCACGUGAAGGAAAUAAUCUCUGGACAGUUAAGUACCAUACUGUGAGCUGUAGACACAGAUAUUAAUUCAAAUAAUGUGUCUCUUUCACCUGAGCCCAAGUAUGAUUGCAUUUAUCGGUGUUCUUUAAAGUCAGUAUGGCCAUGCAUCUUACUGUGAUCAAAAAAGCAUGAGCAUGUAGGUUAGCCUGGACAAUCAGCUUGGAACCCUGAUCAAGAAAGAUGAUUCAAGCCCCUAUCCUUCAACCACUGGUCCUGCACCUUCUUAGGAUGAACACGAGAAUGAAGUAAAAAGAGAGCUUGUCAUGUAAUCUGCCAAGAUUACAGAGCUGGUCAUUUGUUUGCUUGCUUUCUAGCAAUAUCAUGGCUAAAAUCAAGUAUUUUAAAUUUGAGGUAAG
rnacentral:lncRNA from 1 species